rnacentral:rRNA from 1 species
CCCUUCGGGGGGACGACGGUGGAAUGAGCGGCGGACGGGUGAGUAACACGUAAAGAACCUGCCCAUAGGUCUGGGAUAACCACGAGAAAUCGGGGCUAAUACCGGAUGUGUCAUCGGACCGCAUGGUCCGCUGAUGAAAGGCGCUUCGGCGUCGCCCAUGGAUGGCUUUGCGGUGCAUUAGCUAGUUGGUGGGGUAACGGCCCACCAAGGCGACGAUGCAUAGCCGACCUGAGAGGGUGAUCGGCCACACUGGGACUGAGACACGGCCCANACUCCUACGGGAGGCAGCAGUAGGGAAUCUUCCACAAUGGACGAAAGUCUGAUGGAGCAACGCCGCGUGAACGAUGAAGGCUUUCGGGUCGUAAAGUUCUGUUGUAAGGGAAGAACAAGUGCCGCAGGCAAUGGCGGCACCUUGACGGUACCUUGCGAGAAAGCCACGGCUAACUACGUGCCAGCAGCCGCGGUAAUACGUAGGUGGCAAGCGUUGUCCGGAAUUAUUGGGCGUAAAGCGCGCGCAGGCGGCCUCUUAAGUCUGAUGUGAAAGCCCCCGGCUCAACCGGGGAGGGCCAUUGGAAACUGGGAGGCUUGAGUAUAGGAGAGAAGAGUGGAAUUCCACGUGUAGCGGUGAAAUGCGUAGAGAUGUGGAGGUUGGCCUAUAACUGACGCUGAGGCGCGAAAGCGUGGGGAGCAAACAGGAUUAGAUACCCUGGUAGUCCACGCCGUAAACGAUGAGUGCUAGGUGUUGGAGGGUUUCCGCCCUUCAGUGCUGAAGCUAACGCAUUA